GCCCCUCGGGACCUCCCGGCCCCGCGCGCACUCCCUGUCCCCCGCGGGCCCGGCGGGACGCAACGGCGCCGCCGAGCGGCACUGCCCGCCCCGGGAUGGCCCCACGGCAGAGCCCAUGAAGACACACCGGGAGUGAGCAGCACCAGGACCGCCGGCUGGGUACUGCCAACACCAUUAAAGUGCUGUGCCCACCUGC